rnacentral:tRNA from 6 species
GGAGAGGUGGCAGAGCGGUUGAAUGCGGCGGUCUUGAAAACCGUUGAGGGUUAGUAGCCCUCCCAGGGUUCGAAUCCCUGCCUCUCCGCCA